CCAAGUGCCCCCUAAUUGUGUUUCUCAUUGCAGAGGAAAAGGAAACAGAUUUCCCUGGGGAUACCCAUGCCUAUAAUUUUUAGUGAUUUUCAAACUCUUGUUUAGUCCCAACAAUCUGAUGGCGGCCACUUACAUGUGUUUUCUUGAGUUUUGAAUAUCACAUGUUACCAGGGUAAAUUCAAGUUACUGAUAUAUCCGAGAGAAACUUUAAGAUUGAUUGAUAGGACCUUUUUAAUUAGUCACACUUAUAAAAAUUCUGUUGCAAGUCAUCACUUUGUUAUGUGUAUUUCUCUUUACAACUUCUGUUUUUCAAAUAGCAAUUUAUCAGGAAAAGAGCUUUGCCAUUAAUUUAACUAAUUUUACUGUGUAGAAGUAUUUCCAUGUGUGUUCAGUGCACUUUUCCAAGAGAAAUAAUUGCUUAACAGAUUAUAGCAAAAAUGAAUAUGAAGCUAUUAUUCAUGUACUCUUUACUAUAUAUUUUAGCGGUUAGGAUAAAGGCUUCAUUGCCUUUUUGAUAGAAAUGCUAAUCUAUUUCUAUCUUCCUACAUGUAGCAGCAAAGUAUAUCUACUCUGCUAAUUACCUAAUUAAAAAACCCCAACAACCUGGUGCAAAAUACAUGUUAGUAUAAUGAGUUCUUAACAGUUGGGAAGCUUCUAGAAUGACAAUAUUGUACUAGGAGGUAACUCCGUUUCCUUUGAACUUUUAUAAUAAUAAAGAAGAUAUGCAUUUCACCGAGGGUACAUUUUUUUCCCUUCAGAGCUGUUGGAGCCAGGCUGUUGGGAGAGGUAUAUAAAAGAAAAUCAAUUGUGCUGACUGGCGAAUUUUUCUUUAUUGAGGAUCUAAUUACAGGGAAUUGGAAUUCUCUGAAUCAGAUGUUAAUGAUUCCUAGGAGUAAGUUUGAGGACUGGGAUACAGAAUCUCCUUCAGGGGUUUGGGGAAAAUAGAAUGUCUCUUCAUCCACUUGGGCUCUUUGGUAUUGGCUCCACUCGGUGCUGGCCACCUUGCUCGUGUGAUGGGUCUGGGACAGCGCUGUGGGGGAGAGUGGAGUAAGAGACGUCUUCUUGAGCAGGAGGAAAGCAUCUAAGUGGGGGUGGGGCCAGUGAGUUGAAGGAGCAAGAACCACCAGUGACUGUAGUUAUGAGCACGGGGGUGGGUUGGAUGUGCUAGAGUUGGAUUUUUAAAUAAAUAGAAAGAAAAGAAAUUCUGUAAUGACAAAAGAAUAGUAACCUUGAUCAAUUCCUCUUAGAAUUUUCUGAAAAUAGUUGGCACAGUCUAUAAAAGUACAGGCAGAUACACAUGACUAUUUAUGCAGAUCCAUCUAUGGUAUUUAGGAUUGCAAGCCAAUCCAAGUGGGCCUUUGAGAGAAUUCCUAUGAAGUCUGAGAUCUUGCUUCCUCCCAGCUCCUUCGCCCCUCCAAUUUGCUGAACUGAAACUUUGUGGCACUGGAUUUUCAUUCCCUUCUUAUUACACUUAACAUUUACUGUGCUCUCACUUUGAGCUUAGCACAGCAUGAUGCUCUUCUAGGUGUGAGAACCACUGGAAAAAAUCCAGGCUUUGUGGAUUGGGCAGAGCCACUGAGACCACCAAGCCUUGUCAGGGCAUUUGCAUUUGAGUCAUGGGUGGGUAAAUGAGCCCUGAUUGCUCUGGCCCUACAGAUAUUCUACUACUUAAGGAGCCCCCGCCAUCUUGAUUUUAUGUCAAAAACCAUGGGGAAAAUGUUCCUCAACCUCCUUUUAAAUGCCACAUUUCAACGCACACGAUGUUCAGAUGGUAAGAAGACACGUUGACAUUUGGGGGGAUUCCUUACCCGCCUUAUUUCCUUGAGAACCAAACUCUGAAGCUCUUGCCAACCUUACAAACACCCAAUGGAAUCCCUGCUUGUGUGCGUAUUUUGGGUGCAUCAGUAUGUUUGUCAUUUCUCCCUGGAAACGGUUUCUCACACCCACGUUGCAAGUGUGUGAUCUGUGAUUAUAUCCUCUGCUAGUUUUUAGUGUCCUCUGUGCAUGGAGCAAGGGCUGAGAACACGACUUAGCUUAGGGAAAUGAUAAAAAACGUGGUUGUUAAAGUGAUCUUCCAGAAGUCUUUUCUAUGUGUGGUGCCAAUGCUGAGUGCAACCCAUGACUUCCUUUUUUCGAAACGCUGGAGUUGGUUUGAACACUAGGCUCUCCAGUUCAUGGUUUUAGAUGGACGUACAACACUGGCUCAACUUUUUAAGCCCUUGGAUAUCACCUUAUUUCAUUUCAAAGGGGAGCCUCUACCUCGUUUUUGAGGAUUUUGAGAAAAAAGCACAUAAUCACCUUGUUCACGGACUGUCCCUUCGGCGUGUGCAGCCUUUUCUAUAACGAGAGUUUCUCUUCUUCGGUAUUGGCUUCCAAAGUGAAUGAGAGGGUCUCUUGGUUUGUUUUGACCAGUGAGGGGAAUGUUGGGAUGUCCUGGUUUAAUUAGUGCUAUUUGUUCUAGGCUCUUCCAGCUCUGGUUUGUUUAGGAAGUCCUUUCUGUAUCAUAUUCUCAAACAUGCUGGCUUACUAUGCGCAUCAUUGAUAAUUAAGAAUGAGUUUCUCUGAAUAAGGGAUUGACAAAGAGAAGGGUAUUUUGAGCAUUAACAUCCUAAAUCAACAUUUCCAUUUUCUGAGCAUGUUUCUCCAGGAAUAGUUAUUGUUGAAAUGGAAAAUGGACUCUGAAAGAUUUCCUUUGGGAAACACAAUGGCCUACCCUUAAACUUCCCCACUUCUUGCUAAAAUCUGAUUUAAUUAAUACAUUAUUGAUCUUCAAAUAUGAGAAAAAUAAUUGUAUGGAA